GACGAACGCUGGCGGCGUGCUUAACACAUGCAAGUCGAACGGAAAGGCCCUGCUUUUGUGGGGUGCUCGAGUGGCGAACGGGUGAGUAACACGUGAGUAACCUGCCCUUGACUUUGGGAUAACUUCAGGAAACUGGGGCUAAUACCGGAUAGGAGCUCCUGCUGCAUGGUGGGGGUUGGAAAGUUUCGGCGGUUGGGGAUGGACUCGCGGCUUAUCAGCUUGUUGGUGGGGUAGUGGCUUACCAAGGCUUUGACGGGUAGCCGGCCCGAGAGGGUGACCGGCCACAUUGGGACUGAGAUACGGCGCAGACUCCUACGGGAGGCAGCAGUGGGGAAUAUUGCACAAUGGGCGGAAGCCUGAUGCAGCAACGCCGCGUGCGGGAUGACGGCCUUCGGGUUGUAAACCGCUUUCGCCUGUGACGAAGCGUGAGUGACGGUAAUGGGUAAAGAAGCACCGGCUAACUACGUG
rnacentral:rRNA from 1 species